AAGAGCCGGAUGUGAGAAAUCAACAAGUCCGGUUUUGUGAGGGGCAUUGACUUUUCCUCACAUUUAACAAAUAAAAAAUUAUGUUUAUGCAUGAAAGGAACUAUAUUAUGUCUACUCAAC
rnacentral:ncRNA from 1 species